UAGUGUCCUGUUAUCUCUGCAGUUGUCCCUUUAGGGAUGAUGAACUUAAAGCCAGCAGAAGGCAAAGUCCUCAAAGGUCAUAGAACUGCAAGUCCACUUUCAUGAUUUGCUUAAAUCAUCUCUGAAAUUCCAUUGCUUUCAAUAGCUUCAUCCCAUGGCUUAUCUAAGUGCUACCAUAAAACAUCAGGAGUGAUUUCACAAGCACUGUGUAAAUUGCAAUUACUGUCUGUAUGAAUAAUAAUAAUGAAUCAAAAAUUUACUUUACAUGCUUUAGGUCAGAUUUGUUAACUCUCCACUUAACAAGUUUCUCAUGAUAAGCCUGCUAGAAGAGGGAGAUAUGAUAUAUGGCAAAACAAUAAGAGCAGCCUUUUUCCACAGUCUUAUUCAUUUUAGGUGAUUCCCACACUAAUAAUGAAACUACCUGAAAAAAAAAAAAUCUGAAAGAAGAAAAGUAAUUCUAGAAUAUCUGUGGUGGAAGAGAUGGGGCAGCCAGUGCAAGAUUGUUGUGGCCAAAAAUAAGGUUGAACCAGUUCCUCAAGGCUUUCCUAGAAUGUUGCUACAAAAACAAUGCUGUUUUCUGCAGUGCUAAUAUCUGAACCUAUGAAACUUUGAUUUUCCUCAAGUGAGGAAAUAAAGAUGAUUCUUAGCUUUGUUGAUAACCCGGAUGACAUGACUUAAGCAGUGAAGUCAAGGAAUUUAACUUUGACAUAUUUGAAGUAAAAUAUUAUUUUUUAUCCAUCCAUAUGUUAUUUCCAACACUUUUCAUAUUGAUAGAUUUCUUCCUAACUGUAUCACUAGAAACUUAAGAUCAUCAUUUAGUUUAGUUUUUUAGAAGUAAAGUGAAAAAAAUUACUUUUUUCCAGAUCAAAAGGAAACCUGAAAAUUAUUUUUGAUUCCAGCUGGACUACUUUUUAGAAAAGGUUUUUUCAUUUUGUUGAUAGAACAAGUUCUUCAGACAGGUCUUACAAGGGUGAACGCAGGAACUUUUGUGGUAAAUAUGUUGCAUUAUAUUAACAGCCAUAUAUAUGUAGGCUGUGGAAGAUAAGACAGUCCAUAGUUGUAUCAGGUACAUCCAUGGUCUGGGUUUUCAAACCUCCUGAUCAAGAAACUGCCUAAAUGCCCUUGUCCCCUUUGACAGCUUGUAUUUCUGAGGGUCUUUUCCAUGGAAACCAAAUGCAUUGGACAGCAGGGAAACAAAAGUGGGGUGUGAGUCUCGACAGAGUCAGAUGUGCCACACUGCAUUUUUAUUCUAGAACUUGACAACAAUUUUUUAUUUUCUAUUUCUCAUUGAAAAAAUGCCUUUUUAUUUUUUUCUUAGUCCAAUUGCCUUUGCCUGUUCGGGUAAUAAUAUUUUAAAUGAAAAGGCGUAAUAGUGUUUUAAUCACCUGUAAUUUUUCCUGCAUCUACAGCAUGUAAAGUUCUGUGUUCUCGUAAAUUUCACACCUAGAACAAGAAGAACAAGAUGCAGUGCUGAACAGAUUGAAAAAAAAUAAAAUCCAGCAAUAAUAACAGUUUAGUCAUACUGACAAUAAAAAUAGUAACAGGAUACGUGGAAUAGUAAAGAGCAGGCAAAGCAGUCUUUCCUCACUGUGUCUCACUUUCUGUUCCACCAAUCGCUACCAGGGACGCACAACUGAAAAGAUGCUAUGUAUGUUGUAUUAUUGUUAGGACCAUCAUCAGGAAAGAAAUCUUCAACAACUUGAAGUGACUUAACAACUUCUUCAGAAGAUCUCAGCCUACACAAGAGGUUCCAGUACACUGAUUUCUAUUUAUUAUAUGCUUGAAUGAUUUAUGAACUGAGAGAGAGCCAUGCGUGAUUAUAUGAUAACUGAAAUACAGGAUAAGGAGAGCAGAUGUUGCUGUGACCAGUGCUCAAAGCCCUAAUUGCCAGCUGGCAUGCUGUUUUUAAUCAGCUGGAGAUAUUGACUAGCCAGGCUGGAACAGAAAGUUCCUCUGAACUCUGGGAAUAUUGGGUGCAUAGCUCAUCAUUUCUUAUGGAGUGGAGUGCUAAUUACAAGUGCUAUCCCUCAUUAUUUAUGGAACACUGGUAGACUAAAUACUUGCUAAUCUGAAAACCCAGACUCAGGAAUUACAAUAUCCUGGUUUUCUUCCACUAUAGCUUCUGCAGACAGUUCUCAAUACAGAUCACCUAGACACUAGUGGCGGCAGCAAUCUUCCAUUUUGGUCAGGAAAGAGGCUGAAAUGCUGUGGCAGCUCCAUGGUCAGCCUUGGAAUAUUGUACAAACCAGAUUCCUGGACCUUUGAGGAAAAUCCAGAGGUCUUUCUCACAUGAGGAGAUCUAGGACACAUGGAGCUCAGUCUGGAACUUCCCAGAGGAAGGACAACAACUCUCAUCUACUAAGAAAAUUAAUUGAAGCUAGGAAAUGAGAAUUGAGACUAUCAACGCUUCUCAACAGUUCGCAACCACAGGCAAAGGCGCUGUAGACAAGGAGGACAUAACAGCACCAUCAUGAGAAUUUCUUAUAGGUGCACGAAACAGUGAUGUUACAGAAGAUGAAUAGAUUGUCAUCCUGAAAACAAAUGGAACAUUUAUUACUUUUAAAUUGAACACAGGUGCAAAUGUCAGCAUGGUGCCACAGACAGUGAUAGCAGCCCUGAGAUAAAGGGGAGCAUAGAAUACAGCUGAUGCAUGCUGGGAGGAAAAUGCUGGCCUCUGGCAGGAUGCUAGGAAAGGAUGUGGAUAAGCCUUUUCUGGAAGAAGAAACAGAAUACAUCCACUGAAAGGCUGCACACUUUGAUGUAAGUAUCAUUAGGUGAACAUUUAGAAACUGAAACUUUUCUAUGUGAUCUGGCUAUGAAGUUGGUCCUGCUUUGAAAGUGUAGCUGGGCUAGAUGACCUCCAGAGUUCCAUUCCAACAUAAUUUUUUCUACAAUUUUAUGCUUUUUAUUUUUAAAAUGCAUCCGUAAUGUUCUAGCAGAAAGAGAGCAGCCAUUUGUGCUCAGUCAGCAUCCCUAAGAGAGAAGCUGCCACAUUGGUUCAGUUUGGCACCUAAUAUACCUCACAGAAAAAGAUAGGCAUGCUUUUUAUUGUAUAAUCACAGACACCAUCAGUGAUUCUUUAGUUUGUGAAGAAAAAAAAUCACUACAAAUAGAAGAAUGUGAGGCAACUUGGAGUAAUUUUGUAUGGAGUUAAAAUAAUUGAGCUUAUGCUAACUAAACUGAUACAAAUAGAAAUAAGCUUCUUGGGAGAGGUGGAACAGGUAGAGCCCAGUAAAACAGCUGACAACCCCAGCACACCUGCUUCCAGAAACAAGAAAAUACUAUUAAAAUUAAUUGUAUUUGUGAACUGUGAGAAAUGCGUAACUCAUCUCGCUGCUCGUGCCAUGAGCUGGUGACACCAUGGAGUCCUGGCUCUCCAGCCGAAAGACACAGCAGCUUCCCUCCAAGCUCUGCUCUGUUGUGUGAUUUCCCCAGAAUCAGGACACGGAAAAGACUUCAAAUUCCCAGAAUUCACAAAGGCUUUAGCCUUAGAUCAUGGAUGUACAGAUCUGUGCUGAAUAAUCCUGUCUUUGAACAUCUUGCUUUAACAAUCUCCUAUUCCCGAAAAUACACAUUUGGAGCUGGUUUCAAGUAUAAAUUCUUCAUUUUUUUUCAAUGUAAUACAAAACUGAGAAUCGUAUUUGUACACAACAUAAGCAUAGGAAAGUCUGUCGAAAAAAAUGUGAAUGCCUAUUAGAAUGAUUAGGACAAACAAAAUAUAAUAGCUAACAGUCUGAUAGCAGCGGGGAUAUGAGUAGCAAUUGUGAGAGUCACUGCUGAGAGUGAAAUCCUCAGCAAAAUAACUAAGGCUUUUAGCACAGAAUCACCAAGCCAGCUUGUUCCUAGCAGCUAUUAUAAAUAGAUAGCAGAGUGUUUGUUACUAGAAAUUAUUUGCUUAGAGACACGAGAUAGAAAUCUGUACUCUAGAACAAAACAUAAUGUGUGGAAGGACAUGCAAAAAAGCUGCCAGUAGUUGUAUUCCAUAUAUAGAUAUUUAUAAGCCUGGAAAAUUGCAGCUCAAAUGACAUUCCUGUACACAGAUGGGUGAGCACAAUGUAUUCUUCAUAAAAUAAGAGAAAUCCAGUCUCAACCUCCCAUGUAUUUAUAACAAAAUAGUAGUAAAGAAUUUAUAGAAGUUAACUGAAGAUGUUCUGUACAUCUUAAGAGAAGGUGGCCAACAGCAAUUUCAAUUAAUUUUGCAGAAACAGACAUUCUAUGACAGGCAGAUUUCUCAGGUCCAGCAGGGAAUUUGUGUUCAAAGAAAACGGCAAAACAAGCCAGGUAGCUACUUAAACCUGCAGGCUGUCCUACAUCAAGCAGAUAAGUGCCUUGGGCAGUCACUUGAUUGGUAGUGAAAUAAGGGCCAUUUCUGGGCUGACUUUCUCUUUUGCUUUGAGAAUAAUAUCCUGGACUGGACACAGUCAACUGUCGAAAUUCCUGUUUCUACAAAAAGCCAGUGGAAAACUCAUACUCAGUUAUUUACCCUACUUGACCUGAUCUCUUCCCCACCUCUCCAAAUGACUAUCCAGCUUGUUAGGCUAUGAGCUUUUUCACCUACAGAAUAUUUAACCUUUCUUGCAAAGUGGAAGGGCUUCAACAAGAGGCAAAGAUGGAAAGUAUCUAGCCCCAGGGGUGAGCAAUUAGAGCACUCGUCUGAAACAGCACAAAGGGGUUUGGUCUUUCUAACUGGGGGAAUAUGAUUACAUUUAUACAAGAAAGCGUUGAUCCUAGCUUAGAGUGGAAGAGCUGUUGAUCUGGAUAUGAGAAUACAUAAUCCAUUAUAUAAAAUGCUUUUAUUUCUAAUACUGGCAUAAUGAACAAUCUCAACUUUAUUUCAUAUCAGCCUUUUUAAUCCUCUUGCAUGACUGGUUCUGUAGGAGGUAAUCUAGCAGCUAACCAUGGCAUCACAUAUAAACAUGUAGAUAUACAUACACCCACAAGUAUGUAUAUCUUCAGAAAGCUCAGUCCUUCUCUAGACAACAUUUAUCUUACUUAACUAGGAAAGAUAGAUUUGAUUACUUCUGCUGCUUUUUUUCACUGAAACCAAGACAUUAGUUAAACAGUAGUCUGGGUUUAUAAUCCUCAGGAAAUAGCUAGUUAUGGAUGAUGAUCCUGGCAUGUCACAUUACUGUGUGAAGUAGCCUGUUUAUCAUUAUGCCUUAUACUGCUCCAGCCUUUCUUUGUUGUACCUCCAACCCAAUGAUGAAAAAAAUUCUGUUAAUUCAAAAAACUUAGCUGACACUGUAAUGUGAAAUUAAACAUCCUGUACAAAUAUCUGAUUGAUUUGAAAACUCAUUUUAUAGCAUUUUAUAUUUUGACACUAUGUUGUAGUAUUCUUGUUUCACUGCAGCGGUUGGUAUUUCCUACAGAGUGUGUGAGAAUUACAUAGUUUUUCCCUUUCUCAUCAUAGUGUUAUGCUCUCUACUCUACAGCUUGUGAAAAGGGAAUAACAAUGAAAGUUUACAGAAAGAAGCAGUAGAAAGGAAUUGGUCCUAACAGAGAAAUCCUAGCAGUCCAAAUAACUCUUUGGUUUCCUGCAGGGUACACUGCAGGAAAAGUGAAACGCUUGAUGGGUGAGAAUAAAAUAGUUUGUCUUGGCACCACAGAACUCUAUGAAUCACCUUUUUGAAGAACGAGACAUUGAAACUUUAGCUUUCAGUGCAUUUAACAAUGAAAGUGACUGAUUCUUGUUCUGUAUAUAAAAAUUAUCUGGGGACAUUAAAAUAUCAUUUCCUCUCUGA